CAGGCUGACGCGGUGCCCCGCGGCGGUGCGGAUGCUCCACGUGCACUCCUUCCUGCCGCGGUGUCCGCCGGGCCAAUCGGGGCUGCGGAUGGUGCCCAGCGCCGCCCUCACUCUGUGCUCACAGCCGGCCUCCUUGCAGUCGUGCAUGUUGUCGUGCAGCACGAAGCCGCUGCGGCAGCGGCACUCAUAGCUGCCCCACGAGUUGAGGCAGUCGUGUUGGCAGCCGCCGUUAUUCGCGGAGCAUUCGUCCAUAUCUGCG
rnacentral:lncRNA from 1 species